CUGAUUGCGUCCUGGUUGAGCUCGUUGUUGACGGCGAGCACGGUGAGGGACACAGCCACGGUCUCGGCCAGCCGCGGCUCCAGCUUGGACCCCUGCCCCGGCUGCAGCAGCUUGAGCAGCGCUGUGAUGCCGUGCGCAUCGCGCACCGAGUCCUUUAUCGUGCGGUUGUACGCCAGCCGCCCUAUCAGCUUCGCCGCCUGCUCCACCGUUGCCUGCAGCACAUGUUUUGUCGUUUCAUCGAACAAUCUGUCGUUUCGAUGAAUGGUUCAUUGCUCUGCCGGACGGGUUUGAAGGCCAUGCAUUGCAAUGCAACCCGGCCAACAAGGGCCGGCCCGUGAAUCCAACUAGAGCCUUCGGCCCCAUUCGGCGUUUCGAUAACAAGCCGAUCACGAAGUGGUGGUCCACCGACGAAAAUAUCCAAACAGCAGUUUAUCACGUACAUGAGGCACCGCUUUUCAGGUGCAUUCCCCUUAUCCUCCUCAUGCCCCUCAUGCCUCCGAGACAGACAGUAUCCUCUGUGGCAACAUGCCAGAAGAUUGACCGAACACGGAUCAUGGCAAGCUUACCCAGGACCAAUGUGACGCAUGCAGUCAUCUAGGGCCAAGAGAAAGUCACCAUAAUCUGUGCUGAGGUGCACUGAAUCAAUUUCUUUCUACAGCAUUUGUGCCAAUUUCAAUUCCGUAGAGCCUUGUCAUGAAGGUGUGCACCCACCGGAUCGCCCUUGGUGCCCAGGAGCUGCACGAGGACUGGCACGACGCCAGCGGAGUAGGCCACCACUCUGUUGGGCUCAUCCACCGCCAGCGCCAGCAGCACUGACAGCAGGACGGACCGCAGGCUGCGCGCUGCGUCUGAUGCUGUGGCCGCAUUCAGGGCCUUUAGCAAGCUCACCAGGUUCUCAAUCCCGCCAGCCGCCCUGCAAAUUGAACGUAUUUGAGUCCUGAUAUUGGACAACGUACAACAACUAUGUUGAGAUCAGGUGAGACACAUGGCACAAGAGAUACAGAAUGGUUUUCAUGCAUGUCUCUGCCUGCAUGCAAUGGGACACUGCUGUUGUCAUGUCCACAUGCAUGCAACGAUUGAGCCUCUGCACCUGAUGGAGUCUCUGUUGGUGUCGCAUUCAGAGAGCAAACCCAGUGCUUGGGUGGCGGUCU
rnacentral:lncRNA from 1 species